rnacentral:rRNA from 1 species
AUUGAACGCUGGCGGCAGGCCUAACACAUGCAAGUCGAGCGGAGCGUCAGCCGGGUGGGUAAUGCCUAGGAGUCUGCCUGGUGGUCGGGGAUGACGUCCGGAAAGGGGCGCUAAUACCGCCUACUAUCAGAUGCGGCUACGUCGGAUUAGCGAGUUGGUGGGGUAAAGGCCUACCAAGGCGACGAUCCGUAACUGGUCUGAGAGGAUGAUCAGUCACACUGGAACUGAGAAAAGGACCAGACGCCUACGGGAGGGGGCAGGGGGGAAGAUGGGACAAUGGGCGAAAGCCUGAAACAGCGCUGCCGGGUGGGGGAAGAAGGUAUUAGGUUUGUAAAGCAUUUUAAGUUGGGAGGCGUUACCAACAGAACAAGCACCGGCUAACUGCGUGCCAGCAGCCGCGGUAAUUC